rnacentral:rRNA from 1 species
ACGGGAGGCAGCAGCUAAGAAUAUUCCGCAAUGGGGGAAACCCUGACGGAGCGACGCCGCGUGGAUGAUGAAGGCCGGAAGGUUGUAAAAUCCUUUUAUGUGCGAGGAAUAAGGCGGGAGGCAAUGCCCGCGCGGUGACUGUAACACAUGAAUAAGCAACGGCUAAUUACGUGCCAGCAGCCGCGGUAACACGUAAGUUGCGAGCGUUGUUCGGAAUUAUUGGGCGUAAAGGGCAUGUAGGCGGUUCAGCAAGCUUGGUGUGAAAGCCCGGAGCUCAACUCCGGAACUGCAUUGAGAACUACUGAGCUAGAAUCACUAAGGGGGAACCGGAAUUCCAGGUGUAGGGGUGAAAUCUGUAGAUAUCUGGAAGAACACCAAUGGCGAAGGCAGGUUUCUAGUAGAUGAUUGACGCUGAGGUGCGAAGGUGCGGGGAGCAAACAGGAUUAGAUACCCUGGUA